CCCAUACACACAUUUCCCAGUGAUCCUCACUUCUGGGGAUUCACACCCCAUGUAGCCCCUUUCCACAUGGAAUCUGGGCUGGCCUGUGUGAUGAAUAGAAUAUGAUGGAAGUGAAAGUGGUGACCUCCAAGGCGAAGUCAAAAAGGCAUUGCAGCUUCUGACAUGGCCCUUGGGUCAGCUGCUCUGCAGGAAGCCAGCUGCCAUCCCAUGAGGAUGCUCAAGUAGCCCUGUGGAGGGGCCCCAGGGACACCGGGCACGGAUCAACAGCCGGCACCAAUCUGCCAGCCAUGAGUGAGCCACCUUGGGAGGGGAACCUCCAGUCCCGGUCCAGCCUUCAGAUGACUGCAACCUCAACUGACAUCCAACUACAACUUAGUGAGUGACUUUGAGCCAGAACUGCCCAGCCAAGCUGUCCCUGAAUUCCUGACCUACAGAAAUCAUGAGAGAUCAUCAGUGGUUAUUGUGCACAGGGUCUGAGACAAUCACAGCAGAGGAGCCUGCAGACAGCAGCGCAGGUGGGAGCUCAUGGCGUGGGAAGAGGCUACACAUUUCGGUGCCUGGAUUCCAAUCUACCUCCUUCACUGACUUGCUGUGACCCAAGGCAAAGCUGAUUAGUCUCCCUGAGCCUCAGUUCCCUCAAGUGUGAAAGUCAUAAUAACUGAAUUUUCAGUGCCACCAGGAUUGGAGGUUGUCCCCUGCCACUAUGGACUCUCACUGAACAGUCCUGCACCAUAGUGUGAAUACUGGAAAUGAUGGUUUUCAUGAAGUAUUUCUCAAAUGAACUCAUCCCUUCCCUGUCUGGUGCCAACAGCCUGAUCUAUCUAUUGUCUUCUGGAAACCCAGUGACUCCCAUGGAACUCAGGCCCUUUGGUGGCUCGGAAGAGUCUCUCCAGCCAGCUGGAGGGAGUUGGCUGUUACU
rnacentral:lncRNA from 1 species